rnacentral:rRNA from 1 species
GCCCUUUUGAUUACGUCCCUGCCCUUUGUACACACCGCCCGUCGCUAUCCGGGACUGAACUGAUUCGAGAAGAGUGGGGACUGUCGCUUCGAGGUUUAACGACUUCGUUGUUGCGGAAACCAUUUUUAUCGCAUUGGUUUGAACCGGGUAAAAGUCGUAACAAGGUAGCUGUAGGUGAACCUGCAGCUGGAUCAUCG